CGGAAGUUAAAUAACUGUUUAUUAACUUUUAACUAAAAAACUAAGAACUAGAGACUACAACCAACUUAGCACAAGCACUUGCCACAAAAUUGGAGCCAUAGUGAAACCGAGAACUGAACCCGGUAGAUUUGGCAGUACCCGAUGAUCAGUUCUUAAAGAUUGACUCCUCAAGAACAGCUCGUAAAAGACCUCUUUAGCUGCAGCCACCAUGGACAGAGAGCAGUACCUGAGCAAGCACACUCGCAUAGACAGUAGACAAGCUUUAUUUUGGAGAGAAGGACCACCAGAGACGCCACGAACACCACCGAACCUGCAAUGGAGAGCCAGAACCAAGCUAGCACCUCUUUGAGUCAAAAACAGUCAGGAGCAGGCCCUAGAUCCAGCCCUGAAACUAGCCGGAAACAACACGCGCUGCCACAGGAGAAGAAGAAUCAUUGUCAUUGUUGACAAGACCGACGAUGUUCACCCCCACACGCGCCUGCGGUGGAGAACCCGCAACAGGUCAAACCACACAGACCCGAUAGCUCUCAGAUGAGACCUUCAGGAACCGCGUUGCAGAUCUAAACAAGCACGCCAUUGGACCCCAACAGCGGCACGGACCAAGCAAGGCGGUACCUUCCCCGAGAAGGAGGAGACGAGGUGACGAGGAAACUAAAGAACCCACUUCCGUAAACUAGAUCUGACACCAGAUCUAAGCUUUCGCCGCCGCACUCCGCCAAGGAAUCACUAACCACCAUCUCACCGCCUAGCUUCGCCGCUCAUCCAAGCCUAGAACACCAGAUCGAACCCGCGGUGGUGAAAGCUUCAGAAGAAAACAACAAAGAAGCAACGAAGAUGAGAGAGAUGAGCGACGAGAGAAGAAAGGCAGCAAAAGAGAGGGAGGUGACCGACGGCAAGCGGAGAAAACCGCCGGCCACCAAAGCUUAUCUCUUAUAGAUGUGUUCUUUGAGAGAGAAAGCAGAUCUGGUUUUAGAGAGAUGAGUUCUAUAGCCACGAGAGUUGGUCUU
rnacentral:lncRNA from 1 species